GGGUCAGUAGGUUGGUCGUGCCACCGGUACGUACUGGUCUCACUUAUUCCUCCUUCCUGAAGAACCUUAAUGCCAUUAAUUUGGUGUUGCGGGGAAACAGGACUGUUACUUUGAAAAAAUUAGAGUGUUUAAAGCAAGCUAACGCUUGAAUACAUUAGCAUGGAAUAAUGAAAUAGGACGAUCGAUCCUAUUUUGUUGGUUUCUAGGAUUGACGUA
rnacentral:rRNA from 1 species